UGGUGUCUUUAGCUUUUAUCAUUGAAGC
rnacentral:piRNA from 1 species